rnacentral:rRNA from 1 species
CCUACGGGAGGCAGCAGUGGGGAAUAUUGGUCAAUGGGCGCAAGCCUGACCCAGCAACGCCGCGUGAAGGAAGAAGGCUUUCGGGUUGUAAACUUCUUUUCUCAGGGACGAAGCAAGUGACGGUACCUGAGGAAUAAGCCACGGCUAACUACGUGCCAGCAGCCGCUGUAAUACGGAGGUGGCAAGCGUUAUGCGGAUUUACUGGGUGUAAAGGUAGUGUAGGCGGGAAAGCAAGUCAGAUGUGAAAACCAUGGGCUCAACCUGUGUCUUGCAUUUGAAACUGUUUUUCUUGAGUACUGGAGAGGCAGGCGGAAUUCCUGGUGUAGCGGUGAAAUGCGUAGAUAUUAGGAGGAACACCAGUGGCGAAGGCGGUCUGCUAAACAGCCACUGACGCUGAGGCGCGAAAGCGUGGGGAGCAAACAGGAUUAGAUACCCGUGUAGUC